UGGGCAACCUGCCCUCAGCUCUGGGAUAACUCCAAGAAAUUGGGGCUAAUACCGGAUAUGACCGCUGACCGCAUGGUCUGGUGGUGGAAAGAUUUAUCGGCUGGGGAUGGGCCCGCGGCCUAUCAGCUUGGUUGGGUGGGGUAGUGGCCUACCGAGGCGACGACGGGUAGCCGGCCUGAGGAGGGUGACCCGGCCACACGUGGGACUGAGACACGGCCAGACCUCCGUACGGGGA
rnacentral:rRNA from 1 species